rnacentral:rRNA from 1 species
UCAAGCUGGAAAGAGCGCAAGGGGAAUGCCUUGGCAUCAGGAGCCGAAGAAGGACGUGACAAGCUGCGAAAAGCCUCGGGGAGGAGCAAAUAUCCAUUGAUCCGGGGAUAUCCGAAUGGGGCAACCCGGCUGGACAAUAUCCAGUCAUCCUGCGUUGAACAAAAUAGGCGUAGGAAGGGAACCGCCUGAACUGAAACAUCUAAGUAGGGCGAGGAAGAGACAUCAACCGAGAUUCCGCAAGUAGUGGCGAGCGAACGCGGAAGAGGCCAAACCGAGGGAUUUAUUCCUCGGGGUUGCGGACAGUCAUUUAGCGGAAGUUAUCUAGGAGAAGGGUCUGGGAAGGCCCGCCAUAGAGGGUGAGAGCCCCGUAUCCGAAAGAGAAGGCCGUGCGACUGAAUCCAGAGUACCGCGGGACACGUGAAACCCCGUGGGAAACAGGGGGGACCACCCUCCAAGCCUAAAUACUACCUGAUGACCGAUAGAGGAGCAGUACCGUGAGGGAAAGGUGAAAAGGACCCCGGGAGGGGAGUGAAAGAGAACCUGAAACCUUGUGCUUACAAGCUGUCAAAGCACGUUAACGUGUGAUGGCGUACUUUUUGUAGAACGGUCCGGCGAGUUAUAGUAACGAGCGAGCUUAAGGCAUUCAGUGCCGGAGGCGAAGCGAGAGCGAGUCUGAAUAGGGCGUAAAGUUCGUUGCCAUAGACCCGAAACCGGGUGACCUACCCAUGAGCAGGUUGAAGUGGGGGUGAAACCCCAUGGAGGACCGAACCGACCCCCGUUGCAAUGGUGGCGGAUGACUUGUGGGUAGCGGUGAAAUUCCAAUCGAACUCGGAGAUAGCUGGUUCUCCCCGAAAUAGCUUUAGGGCUAGCGUUAUUUUAGAUUACCGGAGGUAAAGCACUGAAUGGUUUAGGGGCUGAUAAAGUUACCGACGCCUAUCAAACUCUGAAUGCCGGAUAAUUGAUGACUAGCAGUCAGACAGUGUGAGAUAAGUUUCAUUGUCAAAAGGGAAACAGCCCAGACCUACAGCUAAGGUCCCGAAUAGAUGCUAAGUGGAAAACGAUGUGGAGUUGCGAAAACAACCAGGAUGUUGGCUUAGAAGCAGCCACUCAUUAAAAGAGUGCGUAAUAGCUCACUGGUCGAGUGACUCUGCGCGGAAAAUGUAACGGGGCUAAGCAUCUAACCGAAGCUUAGGAUUGUCGUAAGACAGUGGUAGGGGAGCGUUCCAUGUGGGGUGAAGUCGCAGCGGAAGCAGCGGUGGACUGCAUGGAAGUGAGAAUGCCGGAAUGAGUAGCGAGAAUUAUGUGGGAAUCAUAAUGGCCGAAAAUCUAAGGUUUCUUGGGGAAGGUUCGUCCGCCCAAGGUAAGCCGGGAGCUAAGGCGAGGCCGAAAGGCGUAGUCGAUGCACAUACGGUAGAAAUUCCGUAGCCACCGAACUUUAAGUCAGAGGGACACUUUUGGAUAGCGGAACCCGGGCGUUGGUUGACCCGGGCGAAAGGGAGCGAAAAUAUAGUAGCGAAGUCCGCGAUGCUGAGAGGCGAGAAAAGCUCUGAUGGAUACUAAGGUGCCCGUACCGCAAACCGACACAGGUAGAUGAGGAGAGAAUCCUAAGGCCAACGGGAGAAGGGUUGUUAAGGAACUCGGCAAGUUGACCCCGUAACUUCGGAAUAAGGGGAGCCUCGCAAGAGGCCGCAGUGAAAAGGCCCAAGCAACUGUUUACCAAAAACACAGGUCUAUGCUAAAUCGAAAGAUGACGUAUAUGGGCUGACGCCUGCCCGGUGCCGGAAGGUUAAGAGGAGAUGUCAGCGCAAGCGAAGCAUUGAAUUGAAGCCCCGGUAAACGGCGGCCGUAACUAUAACGGUCCUAAGGUAGCGAAAUUCCUUGUCAGGUAAGUUCUGACCCGCACGAAAGGCGUAAUGAUUUGGGCACUGUCUCAACAGCCCGCCCGGCGAAAUUGUAGUAC